rnacentral:piRNA from 1 species
ACUUAAGGAAUGUGGGAAGCACACUC